rnacentral:rRNA from 1 species
CUAAGAAUAUUCCGCAAUGGACGAAAGUCUGACGGAGCGACGCCGCGUGGAUGAAGAAGGCCGCAAGGUUGUAAAAUCCUUUUGCUGGGGAAGAAUAAGUCCAGGAGGGAAUGCCUGGAUGAUGACAUGAACCGGCGAAUAAGCCCCGGCCAACUACGUGCCAGCAGCCGCGGUAACACGUAGGGAGUAAGCGUUGUUCGGAAUUACUGGGCGUAAAGGGUGUGUAGGCGGGAGCGCAAGUUGGGGGUGAAAUCUACGGGCUCAACUCGUAAACUGCCCUCAAAACUGCGUUUCUUGAGUAUGGGAGAGGAGUCUGGAAUUCCCAGUGUAGGGGUGAAAUCUGUAGAUAUCAGGAGGAACACCGGUGGCGAAGGCGGCUGCCUGGACCGAUAUUGACGCUGAGACGCGAAAGCGUGGGUAGCAAACA